AGAACUUAAAAUAAAAUUUAAAAAAGAAAAAGUUGGGUGGGUGUAAACACAGAACACAGGGUGUUGUGAAAGCUUAGAUGAGGGUCUGCAGGCAGAAAGUCGAGAAGAGCUUCUUGGAGGAGGUGACAUCCGCGGUGAAACCAGAACAGUCAGAAUUAGCCUGGUGGUGGUGAGAAUCAGUCACCCCUAACAGAGGGAGCAGAAGCUCCGAGGCUGAGAACAGAGAGGACAGUGUUUGAUGGAACAACUGGCAUCGCUGGGGCAUAGAGAUGGGGAGCGAUUAUGGAAGAGGCUGGGGUGGAAAUGCACAUGGAAACAAGGCUGUAAGGACAGGGACCCAUCUGGGGGCUUCCUCUUGGUGCUCAUGAAGAGAUACAGCCAUUCCUCAGACUGCAGGGAGGAAAUGUGCUCCCUUCCUCGUCUUUCAGACUUUUAGCAUUUCUAUUAUGAAGGAUGAAUAAGAAGGAGCAAGGAAGUAAUGAAUCUCUUUGGAAAGACCAACAAGAUGAAUAAUGUUCUACCAGUGGGAAGCACAUGCAAGGAGAAAUUGUGCAGAGUAAGUGUUUACUUCUGUAUUACAGAACAGCUUUGUAGAGGUCAUUAGGCUUAUUGCUGGAGCCAACCGAGGAGGGUAAUAGCACGUCUACUUAGUCUUCACGCGAGGACCGCCAUUCCCUCCCUCGGUUAUCUGGAACAGAAUUGCAUCAGCACAAUGCUAACCAAGCAUAGACUUUUCUAGCUGUAAAAAAGCUUUAGACAUCCAUGUUUCCACUUUAGUGGUAAGGGAACUGCAAGUUACCCAGCUUUUGUAAGCAUAGCUGGGGUGUAAAGCCAGACCAUUUGACUCCUGCUCCAAGACUCUUUCCAAAGAGCCAUCCUGCCACUCUGCCCCGAAGAAGAAUUUUUUUUUUUUCCACUUAACAGCUAGUCUACAUGGCCCAGAAUAAAGCAAAGACUAAGCAUGUGAUGAAUUUGCUGGCUAAGUGCAACCAAACAGAGACUUCUCCUGCAUUCUCACUGAAUGGGUUCUAUAAAACCAGUCACCAGACAUGAGGGAAGAAAUUCAGCAUGCUGUAUGCUUUCAGAUUUCACCUCAAGGAAACCUGGGAAUUCCUGCACCCCCAAGACCAUAACAUGACGAAACUGGAAGUACAACGUGGAGGUCUACCUAAUCCAUCUUGGCUUGUUUUAAUGCAACUAAUAACAAUAAUACAUCACUAAAUGAAAUAUUCAGGACAAAUGCUAAAUUAGACAGAAUGUCAGACAAUGGGUAAAACCAGACCUCCCAGGCAAAUUGGGAUGCAGGUACAUUCACUCCCCCCAGUCAGCAUCUUUGUAUUCAGCACACCGCACCCUUCUCUUCAGUUACUUAUACUUUUCCCCUCUGUUUUGAUAUUUUGCAAAGUGGGCCUGAUAUGGUUUGGCUGUGUCCCCACCCAAAUCUCAUGUUGAAGUGUAACUCCACAGUUCUUACGUGUUGUGGGAGGAACCCGUGGGAGCUGAUGGAAUUAUGCAGGCCGGUCUUUCCUGCACUGUUCUCAUGAUAGCGAAUGAGUCUCACGAGAUCUGAUGGUUUUCAAAAUGGAGGUUUCUCUGCACAAGCUCUCUUUUUGCCUGCUGCCAUCCACCUAAGAUGUGAUUUGCUCCUCCUUGACUUUCACCAUGAUUGUGAGGCCUCCCCAGCCGUGUGGAACUGUAACUCCAAUAAACCUCUUUCUUUUGUAAAUUGUCCAGUCUUGGGUAUGUCUUUAUCAGCAGCACGAAAAUGGACUAAUAGAGGGCCCUUGAGAUCUAUUAGAGAUAUUCAAUAUUGCAAUUAUAUUUUAGGGCAAAUCUAAAACAAAAUUUAGCCAAAGCAUACCCUGGGUCAACUGGAUGACUUCAUUUGUAACCGACCAUUGAUGUGAUUUUAUUGCCUCUGUCUGCAGGUAUGUAUACCAAAUGAAAUUCCAAAAUGCCAACAUAUAACUUUUAAUGUAAUUUCCUGAAUCAGAGAUUGUGGAACUGUGGGAUACUGUAGAAGUAUCUUCAGGGGUCUAUGAAUAUUCUAGCUUUUGUAUUUUUGAAACUGCUCUAUUUUUAAACAUUUAUUUAGAAGUUCAAUUAAAUUUUAAACUUCACUGAGGCACAGGACCCUACCCCUAUUUUCAUUAUUUAUAUCUUUUACUACCAAAUUCCAUGUUUUCUAUUCAGGUUAUUCUUAGAAAAUAGUUACAGAAUAAGUAUCCCAAGA
rnacentral:lncRNA from 10 species